rnacentral:rRNA from 1 species
AUUGAACGCUGGCGGCAGGCCUAACACAUGCAAGUCGAGCGGAGCGGCGGACGGGGGAGUAAUGCCUAUGAAUCUGCCUGGUAGUGGGGGAUAAGGUCCGGUAACGGGCGCUAUUACUGCAUCCUAUCAGCUGCACCUAGGGGGGAUUAGCUAGUUGGGGGGGUAAAGGCCUACCAAGGCGACGAUCCGUAGCUGGUCUGAGAGGAUGAUCAGUCACACUGGAACUGAGACACGGUCCAGACUCCUACGGGAGGCAGCAGUGGGGAAUAUUGGACAAUGGGCGAAAGCCUGAUCCAGCCAUGCCGCGUGUGUGAAGAAGGUCUUCGGAUUGUAAAGCACUUUAAGUUGGGAGGCGUUACCAGCAGAAUAAGCACCGGCUAACUUCGUGCCAGCAGCCGCGGUAAUUC